rnacentral:misc_RNA from 1 species
GAUGAAGAACGUAGCGAAAUGCGAUACUUGGUGUGAAUUGCAGAAUCCCGUGAACCAUCGAGUCUUUGAACGCAAGUUGCGCCCGAAGCCAUUAGGCCGAGGGCACGCCUGCCUGGGCGUCACACGUCGUUGCCCCCCCAUCUACUCCUUCGGGAUGGCGGGGGGCGGAUGAUGGCCUCCCGUGCGCCUCGCCGCGCGGUUGGCAUAAAUGCCAAGUCCUCGGCGACGCACGCCACGACAAUCGGUGGUUGCGAAACCUCGGUUGCCCGUCGUGUGCGGUCGUCGCGCAUCGAGGGCUCGAAAAAAUUGCCGGGUUCCGGCUCGGCUUUCAACGCGACCCCAGGUCAGGCGGGGUUACCCGCUGAAUUUAAGCAUAUCAAUAAGCGGAGGA